rnacentral:tRNA from 1 species
UCCCGGCUGGCUCAGUCGAUAGAGCACAUGACUCUUAAUCUCAGGCUUGUGAGUUCAAACCCCACGUUGGGCA